rnacentral:rRNA from 1 species
GACGAACGCUGGCGGCGUGCCUAAUACAUGCAAGUCGAACGCAGUGGGGACGGGCGAGUAACACGUGGGUAACCUCCCAUCAGAGGGGAUAACACUUGGAAACAGGUGCUAAACCGAUACUGAUGGAUGGACCAGCGGUGCAUUAGCUAGUUGGUGGGGUAACGGCUCACCAAGGCCACGAUGCAUAGCCGACCUGGGAGGGUGAUCGGCCACACUGGGACUGAGGCACGGCCCAGACUCCUACGGGAGGCAGCAGUAGGGAAUCUUCGGCAAUGGACGAAAGUCUGACCGAGCAACGCCGCGUGAGUGAAGAAGGGUUUCGGAUCGUAAAGCUCUGUUGUAAGAGAAGCGGUAUCUUACCAGAAAGGGACGGCUAACUACGUGCCAGCCGCCGCGGUAAUUC